CCUAUCAGCUUUUCCCGAUCGUUUGCCUGCAAGAUACGACGGAAGAAAUGGAAAUUAUAAAUAUAUUCUUGUGUUAUACCAUAUUUCGCAUGUGACAUGCAAAGGACGGAAUAUCAAUGAUAAAGAGAAUAGUGAAUGGCUGAAUUUCAGAUACAACAAUGAAUCUGGAAGGUUGUACAUACAAGAUAAGUACACAUUGUUUGAAUUAUGUUAGAAUUCAAGUAUGAGU